GCAAAACUGUAUGUGAAGGUUGCUCAACACUCUAGGGUUUGGUUUGGUCUCUCUCUCUCUCUCUCUCUCCCCUUCUUUCUCAUGAUUUCCUUCUUGUUUUUGCUCUGAGUGAGAAAAUAAGGGUCGUGUUUUCCCACCAUUUCUUGCAACCCAAGGGCCUUGGGAUUUGAGCACUUCUUCCACUUUAUGGAAGAUCCCGAUCGGAUUUGUGGAAAAUUUGUGAAAUGGUUGUAACGUGUUGAGCCUGACUUUUCUUGUUUCUUACUCAUCCCAAAUCCGAAAACAAAGACGCGAUCACAGCACCAUAUAUGGCUACCGGAAGCAGCUCCACUUAUCCAGAACCCAUAAAGACCAAUCAGACCCCUCGAAAACCCAUUCCGGGCCCGGCAGAAGUUUCAGCUCCACUUAUUGAGAACCUUCUCCCUGAAAUCAUCUUCGAAAUACUUUCGAGACUUCCCGUUAAGUCUCUGCUGCGGUUCAGGUGCGUUUCCAAAUCAUGGCGCUCUAUGAUUUCUGACCCGAAAUUCGCCAAAGCCCAUCUCAGUCUAGCAUCUACGAACCCUGAUUAUGCCCACCAUAGACUCUUACUACUAAGCCUUUUGAGUCACGAGUUUGCUGUGAAGUCAUGCUCUCUGCACGCUGUUUUGCAAGAGCAUUCUGAUACUGCUGUUGAUCUUGAUUACCCUUUGGAAGCACCUCAUUGUAAAGUAAGGAUUUACGGUUUCUGUAAUGGGUUAGCGUGCAUUGGAACUGAACGUAUAGUCUUUUUAUGGAACCCCUGUACAAGGAAAUCCAAGCGAUUGCCUGCUGUUGAAAGGGGAGCCCGAUUCAUAAUGUAUGCGUUUGGUUAUGUAGAGUCUAUUGACGAUUACAAGGUGGUGGGAUUCUUUUGUAAUGUUGGUACAUGCGGUUUUAAUGUUGAAGUGAUGAUGUAUACGUUGAAGACCGAUUCUUGGAGGAGCAUCGUAGAGUUUUCUAAUUGUCUACCUCUGUUCGGUUCAGGAAUUUGUGUGAAUGGGGUCCUUCAUUGGACUGCAAGCGGCGAGUCCCAUAAGGUUAUUGUUUCUCUCGAUCUGUUAAAGGAGACUUUUGGAGAGGUUUUGCUUCCUGAUUAUAGAGAUGGUCAUUCUCAGUUGAUGUUGCAUUUUGUAAGUGGAUGCCUCUGUUUAGUCUGUGAUUAUGAUGGAAUUUGUGCUGAAGUAUGGGUGAUGAAGGAAUAUGGUAUAAGAGAGUCUUGGACCAAAUUGGUUGUGGUACCUUAUGUUGCACAUCCAUCAAAUUGUCCGUAUUCCGAACCCUUGUGUAUUUUGAAGAAUGGUGAUGUUUUGCUGGAUAUCCUGACGCAUUUAGUUCGCUUCCACCCAAGAGAUGGCACCUUUGCUUAUCCUACGAUUCAUAACUGUUUCCCGAGAUUUAGUGUGUAUCCCUACAUUGAGAGCCUAGUCUCGUUUGACACAGAUGCUAACAAUGGAGUGUAGUGGCAAUAAAAAUUCAAAGAGGAGUGAAAGAACCGAGAAUGAGGAGCUGCUGUGAUUCCCAAGAAUCGAAUCGCUUUUACUGUAUUCUUCGUGGAGUCAAGACUUGUGCUUGCUCUAUGUUAUAAAUUUGGAAUGUAAGGAGAGGAACUGAGAAUGUGGAGGUGUGAUUUGCAAGAAUUGAAUUGCUUUUAUCGUAAUUUUCUUGGAGUGAAGAUUUGUGCUUGCUCUAUGUUAAGGAGAGAUACUACUCUUUUGUCUGACUGUAAUAUCUAUGCAUAUGGACAUAAUCUACUAAAAUCUAGUACUUGCAUAGCUCUAGAGGGCGCGCCUACAGCCUGGGAUGGCUCUUUUGGAAAGUCAUUUGUACAGUUAUGGCUUGUCCAGUGGUAUUAAUGUUUAGCAGAUGAAUUUGGCUUCCGCUUGAGCUUAUGCCCUCUUUAGUACAUAGUAAAUGAAUGGUGUUCAGUGAUCUUUUUAGUCUUGAGUUGGCAAGGGAUUGAUCAGGACAUCAAAUGUCAUUCCUAAACAGAAAUCACAAAGCAACGAGUCGUGACCAAUUUUGAGUCAGGUCAAUAGCUUGGUAUGGAACCCUAGUGAAUGUGUGAGUAGCGCUUUAGGCUUUAGACUGUUUGGCUUAAAAAUCGAUUUCACGCGACGGCAACCAAUUUGGCCACCUUCACCUACUCUAGUCUCAAGGAUAAAUUGAAAGGGUGUUGUUUGUCUUGGGUUCUGUUUGUCUACGGGUCCGAGCAAAAUCAAAGCCCUACGUUGUGGACUGGCUUUAGGUUUUUUUUUUUGUUGGGGUAAUUACUGGCUUAAGGCUUUGUCCAUUC